rnacentral:lncRNA from 1 species
CUGAGGAGGGGAGGAUGAUCAGAGCCACAGAGAGAUGGCAACUGCAGACUCCUUGAUAUUCUUCAUUCCAAUUGUUCACCUCUACUGUAGGGCUCAGUAAACACUUAAGGAAGUCGCCAUGCACUGCAGCCUGCCGGAGACAUGAAGGAAUGUAGAGCAGGAUAAUCAC